rnacentral:lncRNA from 1 species
CUGGACUGUAGGCUGACUGACUGGACUGUAGGCUGACUGACUGGACUGUAGGCUGACUGACUGGCUAUAGGCUGACUGACUGGCUGUAGACUGACUGACUGGACUGUAGGCUGACUGACUGGACUGUAGGCUGACUGACUGGACUGUAGGCUGACUGACUGGCUGUAGGCUGACUGACUGGACUGUAGGCUGACUGACUGGCUGUAGGCUGACUGACUGGACUGUAGGCUGACUGACUAGACUGUAGGCUGACUGUACCAGUGUUAUCUCCAGCUUCCUUCUUGGUGUCAUUGGGGCAGAAGAGCACUCACUCCCUAUCUAGACUGUUGGAACUUACUUCUCCUCCAACUUAUUUUAUGACCUGUCUUUCUUCUUGACAGCACACCACAUGGUUCCCCGGCCACCUGUCCCACCUCCUGGUGCCAAUGAGGAGAUCACCGAUGACUUCGACUGGGACUUGAUCACUUAAUGAAUCACAGUUGACAUCAGCCCAAGGCCUGGUGGUGAAUUCUGGCCACGGGGGAAGAGCAGUCCCCGGCUAUCCUCCCCAAACCUGUAUAUAGAUAUAUAGCUUCUUUCUGUUCUCUCUGUCAGAGACGCCACCGCAAGAUGCUGCCGAGGAUAAUCCUCUUUUCCUCCUCAUCCUUUGUUUCCCUCCUAGUUCAUUAUUAUUCUAAUUAUAUUAUUAUUAUUAUUAUUGGUUACAUACUGCCCAGUCUGCUGCCCUCUUACCCUGGGCUUUGCCCUCCCUUUGCCCGUUUGAAAUCUUCAGGUCUCAAGAUGAGGCCGUGAUAGCUGUCAGGAAAGGCUUCGAAUGCUAGUUCACCUUUCUCUCUGAGAAACUCAGUGCUGAUCCCACCUUUCAGCUCUGAACUGUGUUCUGUUCCUGUCUGUUUCAGGCUGGCCUGGAGAGGCCACAGUAAGUAGAGGGGAGGCUAAGACACUGCUUGGCAACCAUGACGUUGCAGUUUUACUCAAUGGUGCUAAUUGUGUCCUCUGCACUCUCCCAUUAUACAUCCGAUCUUUACUUUUUCCGGCAGUCCUCAUGCCCAUGAUGGGUGGACUUGGAGAGCUGGGUUCCGUAGAGCGCCAUGGAGCAGUGAUGGGUAUAACCCAGCAUGAGGUUGGGUAUGCACUGCCAUAUCAAAACAUCCCUGGCUUCUUCCUGGUUGAUGCUCUGGGGAGGUUAGCUUGUCCGCUCGGGCAUGAAGACCACUGUGCAUCCUAGGUUCAACUUCUUGGAAACAAUUUCAAUUUAAGGCAUUUUGGCUUUGGAAAAGGAAUUCUUUCUGAGAGUUAGCUGGCUAUUCUGCAUAUAUAAAUGACCUUCCAUCAUCUCUUCUCCUUCAGCAUAUACUUUUUUGUCUUCCUAAAGCUGUUUGUCCAAAUCAUCUACCUGUUUUAUUUUUUGUUCUCCCAUUUUCUGGGAAUCUCAAAAGACAAAAGGAAGCCAUUCUCACUCCUAGUUUCUUCAUGUCAUAGACAUGCUGUGGAAACCUCUUUCCCUCCUGUCACAGCAGACUCAUACCUGUGAUACUGCUGACGGGAGGUUGGGGAGAAGAGAGGGAACUGGCGGAGAUGUGGGUGGGAACCUGUCAUUUGUUUAACUGCACAGGGAGACGCUUCUCUUGAAGUCCCUGUCGGUGGGGUGGAAGCUUUUGAUUUUGACAGGCAAUGAAUAAUUACAUUCCCCUGUAAGAGGGAGAUGAAUUAUACAGAGACAGGGCGCAGCAAGGGCAAGGCGCACUCCUAGGCACAGAGUGGGGAGUCUCCAUUAUCAAUGAACGGCCAUGAUUUAUUGCUGCAGAGGUCUUAGUGAGGGUGUGGUUGAAUUCGAUUCGAGAGAGGGAAAUCUCACUUCCACCUUAUUUUCACUAAAUUUUCUGAAACAGACAAAAUGUGUAGUGUUGACAGGGCCAAUCUCCGUGACUUUUGUUCAUAUGCUUUUAUUUAUCCAUGAUUUCCAAGACACUGGGCUUCCCAUUCUCACUUCCCCUCAUCAAUCCCUUUCCUUUCUUUAGAAGGGGGCUUAUGUAUGAGACUGGUGAAGUCCAGUGAAGCUAAGUAAAGGGGCAAGAUGGGGCAGUUCACUAAAGAGCACUUUAUUUCUUUGUAAGGAAAAAAAAAGGGAGUAUAAGAAAAAGUUUCCUCCAGCAGUGUGCGAUGUACUGGAGAGCAUCUGGUGGGCCAGUGUAUGAAGCAGUAGUUCCCGCUAGGGAACGGGGUGUUUCCCUAGAGGAGGCACACACCUUUGCCAGGUGCCCUACUAGACAUCUCUUGCUAUGCCUCCCAUCCAGGUGUAGUCUCCACAGCUUCCCUUUGGUUUCCUCGAGGUCUCUCCCUUGCAGAUUACCACCUCUUCUUCUAAGCACCUUUCCUGGUCAGAUCUGUCCGCGGUUGGGGAGCUAGGCUGAGUCAUACUCCCAGGUGCCCCGGCUUCUCCAUGUCUUGAGAACCAGUCUCCCUGGUGGGCAGCCAGAGCAGCUACAGUGGGCUGGAGACUGGAGGGUGGCUUUAGGCCCCCUGAGGUUCUAGCUCUCCAGGGUCAGGCUUGCAGAACGGGGCAGUUUAAACCUGAUCCCCUCUGGGCCUCCGAUUCCCAUGCCCUCCAUGACGUGGAAAGGGAACUACUUUUAUUUUGUUGGUCCGGUAUUGCUGGACAUGAAGUACAGUCCUUGCUGUUGUCUUGGGUGAUAUUUGCACAGUUGUGGGGGUCACUGCCUAUAAGAGGAAAUAGGGGAGACAGCAGAGGUGCAGGACAAAGGAGAAGUCAUUUGUGUUGCUCCACCUAUCCUAGGCUUCCUCUCCUCAACCCCAUGUUUCUGGUUUGGUGAGUUCUUUAUACCACCCAUAAUGCUUUGCAUUGGUGCAGGCUGGGAAGGGGGUGUAUGGGCUCACAACUUGUUUGGUUUUUUUGUUUUGUUUUGUUUUUGUUUUUGUUUUUUUGCAUGCUUUCUU